GGGUGUGCCGAGGAAAGAUAGAUAUUUUUCCUAAGAUUAAUCGCAUCUAUUUAAUUAAAAAAAGAGAUACAACUCUACUAGUACAAAAUUAAUUCAAAACUCCCGAGCUCUUUAUUUUCUAAUUACAUCAAUUUUAAGAUAAUUUAUUUUUUUAAAUCAAAACAAUGCUUCUUUCUUUUAUUUUGCAAUCUCAACUUAGCCCAA
rnacentral:lncRNA from 1 species